rnacentral:rRNA from 1 species
GAUGAACGCUGGCGGCGUGCCUAAUACAUGCAAGUCGAGCGAACGGACGAGAAGCCUGCUUCUCUGAUGUUAGCGGCGGACGGGUGAGUAACACGUGGAUAACCUACCUAUAAGACUGGGAUAACUUCGGGAAACCGGAGCUAAUACCGGAUAAUAUUUUGAACCGCAUGGUUCAAAAGUGAAAGACGGUCUUGCUGUUACUUAUAGAUGGAUCCGCGCUGCAUUAGCUAGUUGGUAAGGUAACGGCUUACCAAGGCAACGAUGCAUAGCCGACCUGAGAGGGUGAUCGGCCACACUGGAACUUAGACACGGUCCAGACGCCUACGGGAGGCAGCAGUAGGGAACCUUCCGCAAUGGUCGAAAGCCUGACGGAGCAACGCCGCGUGAGUGAUGAAGGUCUUCGGAUCGUAAAACUCUGUUAUUAGGGAAGAACAGAUGUGUAAGUAACUGUGCACAUCUUGACGGUACCUAAUCAGAAAGCCACGGCUAACUACGUG